UAUUUUUGGCGCUGUCUAUAAUCACCAGGGAUUUAAUGGGACACCUCCCAAAUUUUCCUAAGUGAAAUAGUUGGCCAAAUAAUUCCCUUUUUCUCUAUGUUAAUAAAUAAAAGCUAAAACAGAAAAGAAGAAAUAGUAAAGGCCUAAACGCUACUGUGGGGCUGGGCCUCUAGUUCUACAGUGCCACGGCCCAGCCCAUUUGGGGUUUUCCCCUACCUCUGUUCAUCAGAGCGCGGUGGACGCCCGUGCGACGUCCACGGCUCAGAUCGGCCACGGGGCGGCCAUCCGCCACUCUCCGACGCCUACUUGACCCUCCCGCUAACCCUAGCCUGCCCUAGUAUCCCCUCGCUCUCUCCCUCGCCCGCUUUCUUCCUCCCUCACGAGCACCCGUCGUCGCUGCCGCCAUGGCCGUGUCUUAGCACGACCACCGAGCCCCGAGUGCCUCUCCGACGAGCCCGACCGCUCCAACUACUUCCUCUACUUCCUCUCCGCCCUCUGGAUCGAGCCCGACGCCACCACAGCCUCGGGAUCGAGCUCCUCCCCGACCCCGGCCGUCGCCGCUCAUAGCCGUCGUCCACUCCGGCAAGUCCUCCCCGGGCCUUCUCAGCAACGUUGAUGACGGAGCCCAGGAGCCAGACGACGCCACUGAUGACUACUACUAGCCGGAGGAUGCCUACUACUACGUGAAGACCGCCGAUGACUAGGAGUAGUUAGGAGGCUCCCAGGCAGGAGGCCUUGCCUUUUCGACCAUUAUUGCUUUUGUGCUAGUCUUCUUAAGGAAAUCUUGUUUAACUCAUGUCUGUACUCAGAUAUUGUUGCUUCUGCUGACUCUUGUGUUUUCGAGCUUAUGUAUUCGAGCCCUCGAGGCCCCUGGCUUGUAAUAUAAAGCUUGUAUUAAUUUA